UCCCGCUUGCGGGGGUGAUUAGUGGCGAACGGGUGAGUAAUACGUGAGUAACCUGCCCUUGACUCUGGGAUAAGCCUGGGAAACCGGGUCUAAUACUGGAUACGACCCUCCAUCGCAUGGUGGGGGGUGGAAAGGGUUUGACUGGUUUUGGAUGGGCUCACGGCCUAUCAGCUUGUUGGUGGGGUAAUGGCUCACCAAGGCGACGACGGGUAGCCGGCCUGAGAGGGUGACCGGCCACACUGGGACUGAGACACGGCCCAGACUCCUACGGGAGGCAGCAGUGGGGAAUAUUGCACAAUGGGCGGAAGCCUGAUGCAGCGACGCCGCGUGAGGGAUGACGGCCUUCGGGUUGUAAACCUCUUUCAGCAGGGAAGAAGCCACAAGUGACGGUACCUGCAGAAGAAGCGCCGGCUAACUACGUGCCAGCAGCCGCGGUAAUACGUAGGGCGCAAGCGUUGUCCGGAAUUAUUGGGCGUAAAGAGCUCGUAGGCGGUUUGUCGCGUCUGCUGUGAAAGCCCGGGGCUCAACCCCGGGUCUGCAGUGGGUACGGGCAGACUAGAGUGCAGUAGGGGAGACUGGAAUUCCUGGUGUAGCGGUGAAAUGCGCAGAUAUCAGGAGGAACACCGAUGGCGAAGGCAGGUCUCUGGGCUGUUACUGACGCUGAGGAGCGAAAGCAUGGGGAGCGAACAGGAUUAGAUACCCUGGUAGUCCAUGCCGUAAACGUUGGGCACUA
rnacentral:rRNA from 1 species